rnacentral:rRNA from 1 species
UACGUAGGGGGCAAGCGUUGUCCGGAUUCAUUGGGCGUAAAGAGCUCGUAGGCGGCUUGGCAAGUCGGGUGUGAAACCUCCAGGCUCAACCUGGAGACGCCACCCGAUACUGCCAUGGCUAGAGUCCGGUAGGGGACCACGGAAUUCCUGGUGUAGCGGUGAAAUGCGCAGAUAUCAGGAGGAACACCGAUGGCGAAGGCAGGUCUCUGGGCCACUACUGACGCUGAGAAGCGAAAGCGUGGGGAGCGAACAGG